rnacentral:tRNA from 2 species
GCUAGUGUAGCAGAGCCUGGCUAAUGCAAAAGACUUAAACCCUUUACCCCAGAGGUUCAAAUCCUCUCUCUAGCA